rnacentral:lncRNA from 1 species
CAUUGUUCACUAACCCAGUGCCUAGCAUGGUGCCAGGCACAUAGUUACUCUAAGAAAGCACAGUGAUUGCUGGAUUCUUUCUCUCCUUGUACAGCUCUUCAUGUGGAUGUCUGAGCUCCUAUCAGGUGUCUGAAAGAGGCAGAUUCUGAGGAUUUGGGUCAUGAUGGCUGCCAAAGCUUCUACGCCUGACUUAAAGGGCAACAAUCCUAGGAGACCACCAGCACUUACAUCCCUGGUGGGACAUGACACCUGCUUAUGUUAACCUCAGAGACCUGGUAAUCCAUAUGACCCCACAGCUAUGCCUCAUGGCCCAGAGGGUAGGAUUUCAUCUCCACCAUCCUCUUCCUCAAUGUGAAGGGCUGUUGAGUGAGUACCCUUAGGGAACAAUACUGGGGAAGUAUAAAAUUAUCAUCUUCCAAAUAAGAAGCUGCU